GACGAACCGUGCGAACGUUGUUCGGAAUCACUGGGCUUAAAGGGCGCGUAGGCGGGUUACCAAGUCUGUGGUGAAAUCCUCCGGCUUAACCGGAGAACUGCCGUGGAUACUGGUGAUCUCGAGGGAGGUAGGGGAGUGCGGAACUGUGCGUGGAGCGGUGAAAUGCGUUGAUAUGCACAGGAACUCCGGUGGCGAAGGCGGCACUCUGGACCUCUUCUGACGCUGAGGCGCGAAAGCUAGGGGAGCAAACGGG
rnacentral:rRNA from 1 species